UAUCACUAAGACUCUAAAUUGCCCAGGCUUGGCUUGAACUUGGCAGUUCUCCUGCCUCAGCUUUCCAGAGUGCUGAGAUUACAGGCUGUGUACUACCCUGCCUGCCUCAGUUUUGUUUUUAUGUUUAAUCAUAUCCUUUGCCACUGAAAAAUGGUUUAAAGUACUUUCUUGUUUUUUAAGUUUAUACUUUGUUUACCUUGGUGUACAUUGUUGAGGCUUAUAAUUUUUGCUAGUCUUUCAAACUUUUUUUUUUACUGAUUUGUGUUUAAUGUUUACCACUUUUUAUUUUGUUUUAUUUUAGAGGAAACCUUUCAUUAUAAACAUUAUAAAAUGCCAUACAAAAUGUAUAUGCUUUAAAGUUAAAUAGGAAUUUUUAAAGAUUAAAUUAUUUGUGUAGCUUGUUAGGAGGUUCCAGCUAGUAACAAUAAACGUAGGUUACAUGUCCAUGAAAAUUUUAAAAUGGUACAGUGUUAAAGUCUUAUAGUGUUAUUUUUUCUGACUUUUGCCAGUUCAUUUACUGACAGAUACUAUUGCUUAUACUGAAGUAAGAUAGUUGAGUAUUUUUGAAUACUUACUAAGUGUUAAUACUCUAUAAAAUUUUUUAAAUAUCUUCUCAGAUGUGACUGUGGAGCAAAGAUAAUUGAUUUCAUUUCAGUAUAUAGUUGCAUUUUGAACUUUAGCUUGGUGGAAUUGAUUGUAUGAGAAAAUUUGUGGUUAAAAUUAGUAAGAGAUAAAACCCUCAGCAGGUUAUUCUUGCCAAGUUAAUGUUUGUAGUGAUGGGGUAAAGGGGUUUAUGUACCAGAAGAAGUUAAUAAGGGUCUGGGAAAAAGGAAGAAGGCUGCAGUGCUGUGACUAGAAUAUCAAAGUUCUAUCUUGCAUCAGUAUUUUCAUUUUACUUCAUCCUUUCGCAUUUGCCCUUGUUAUGAUAUCAGGCUAUUGGUACCUUGAUGCAAAACAUAUUAUAACAAUCUUGAGCACUAGAAAUUGAGGUGGGGGGUGUUCUGUGGUAAGAGUGCUUGCAUACCAUCCAUGAGGUCCUGGUUGGGAACAUAUAAUUUCACUAUUAUAUUUGGUUUAAAGAAUCCACAUUAGUAUUACAUUUUAGUGACAGUAAAUUAUCCCACAAUUUUAAGUUCUCUAAGGUGAAACAAAAAACCAUGGAAUGAGUUCCCCCCAAAAGAAGUGUGUGUGUGUGUGUGUGUGUCUACAUGUACACACAUACAUGUAUUCAUACUUUGCUUUCAAUGUAAGUACCAUGUGCUUUGGUCAUUGAAUUUAGUCUCUUUUCAGUGUUAGAAAUUUAUUUUAUAAAACUGUGCUGAGACUUUUGGAGAAAAAAUGAAACUGCUGUGAUAAAAACUAAGUGUUUCAAAACUAGACAUUUGGUCAUAUUUUCUUUGGAAAUUGCAAUAAUUUAUAUAUUUGUAUCUUGCUUUGGAACUGUAACAAUAUAUGCUUGUCUACUAUUU
rnacentral:lncRNA from 1 species